GAUCCUGUGAGACAGCAAAGGGAGCAGCAGCGGGCGGUCUUCCAAGGCUCCCGCGGUGGACGUAAAAUGGCGAUGGUACCUUUUGUACGUGAGUCCGCCGAUCCCGCGGGCUGUCCCUAGGCUGGCGGAGAGAUUCGCUGGCCCAGUCUGGGGCGCGAAGGGACCUCGGCCGCCAGCGGACUCGCAGGGCCGGGGAGAGGAGAGUGCGCUGGCAGCACCCGCCCGCGGAUACCAGCUUUGCUCACCUACUGCUUGUACAGUUGUGAGUGAAAAUCCAAAGGAAGACAGUUGUCCACUGAGCUAUUGACAAUGCAACAGUGGGAGUUAAUGACCUUCGAAGACGUAGCUGUAGACUUCACCCAGGAGGAGUGGGCAUUGCUAGACACAUCCCACAGAAAGCUGUUCAGAGAAGUGAUGCUGGAGAAUAUCAAUCAUCUGGUCUCAGUGGGAUAUCAGGUUUGCAAAUCAGAUGUCCUUUCCCAGUUAGCACAAGGAGAGGAAGUGUGGAGAGAAGCAAUGGAAUUUCUCCAACACCAGGGUCCAGGCAGGAAAGUUCCCUGGAAAAAGCAAGAAAUGAUAUUCUUGCAACUUACCUACAGGAAAGAGAAUUCUGAUAUCAUGCCAUUGCAAAUAGUUCCCACUCAAAAGAAUUCCUUUCAGUGUAAUUAUUCGCAAGAAGAGUCCAUUCUCAAAUCCACAGUGACUCAACAUGCAUUAAUUCCCAUGAUAAAGAAACCAUAUUUAAGCACACCACUUAGAAGAGUCCUCAGUGACCAGUCACCUUUUAAUCAGCAUGAGCAGAUUUACACUAGAAGUAAAUCAGAUGAAUGCCAACAAAGUGCUAAAGCAUGUAUUAAAAGCUCUGGCCACAGACAGUACAAUGGAACUCAAAUUGGAGAUAAACCAUAUGAAUGCCUUCUAUGUGGGAAAAUGUUCAUUAGAUUUUUUCACUUUAGAGAACAUGAGAGGACUCACACUAAAGAGAAGCCUUAUGAAGGUAAUCUAUGUGGAAAGUCUUUCAGUCAAUCUUAUCUUCAACAGCAUGAGAUUACACACAUUGGAGAAAAGCCCUAUGAAUGCAAUACUUGUGGGAAAGCCUUCAUUGAUUGUUAUGCCCUCAGACGACAUGAGAGAACUCACAGUGGAGAGAAGCCACAUGAAUGUCAUCUAUGUGGGAAAACCUUCAGUCAGUAUUCUUAUCUUAGAAAUCAUGAGAAAACUCAUACUGGAGAGAAACCCUAUGAAUGUCAUCUAUGUGGGAGAACUUUCCGUCAAUAUUCUCAUCUUAGACAACAUGAGAGAACUCACUCUGGAGAGAAACCCUUUGAAUGCCAUCUAUGUAGAAAAACUUUCAGUCAGUACUCUCAUCUUAGACAACAUGAGAGAACUCACUCUGGAGAGAAACCCUAUGAAUGCCAUCUAUGUGAGAAAACCUUCCGUCAAUAUUCUCAUCUUAGACAACAUGAGAGAACACACACAGGAGAGAAACCCUAUGAAUGCCAUACUUGUGGAAAAGCCUUCACUAAUUGUUCUGCCCUCAAACGACAUGAGAGAACUCACACUGGAGAGAAACCCUAUGAAUGCCAUACCUGUGGGAAAGCCUUCAUUGAUUGUUCUGCUCUCAGGCGACAUGCAAGAACACACACUGGAGAGAAACCCCAUGAAUGUCAUCUAUGUGGGAAAACCUUUAGUCGUUAUUCUUCCUUCAGACAACAUGAGAGAAUUCACACUGGAGAAAAACCCCAUGAAUGUCAUCUAUGUGGGAAAGCUUUUGCUCGUAGUUCUGCCCUCAGGCAACAUGAGAGAAAGCACAGUGGAUUGCUGAAGCCAUAAGUAUGUCAUUUAUAUGGGAAAACCUUAAUUUCUCUAUUCUUAGACAACAUGAAAUUGUUCAAACUUGAGAGAAAACUUAAGAAUGUCAUCAGUAUGGAAAGUCAUUCAAUAUUCUGAUCUUAGAAUGAGGGAACUCACACUACAUGUGAAUGUGGGAAAGAUUUCAGCCAUAGUUUAACCUUUAAACACACCAGAGAACUCACAUACUGAAGAAACAUUGUAAUCAAUAUGAUAGUGCCUUUAGUCAUCAGUGCUAUUUCAGUUAAUAUAAGGACAUUUAUACAGGAGGGAAUCCAUACAGAUGUCAUCUGUGUAGCAAAACCCUUUGUAGAUGGCCUGAUCAUGUAUCAUAUGAGAGAGCUCACAAUAUAAAUCUGAUGGAUGUGGAGAAUCCUCUACCACUCUGUACCAGAGGUGGUAUAUUGUCUGCCUGAUGCAAGGGAAACCAGCUGCUGCCCAGUGGAUACCAGGUGGCUUCAGCUUGACUUACCCAUCAGUGAACCAGCACUGGGCAUCUGGUGGGACAUCUGUGAGUAGAGGUCCUCCGUGUUCUAAUGCAUGGAGGGAAAGGCUUUCUGUUAUUGCAACAAGCUCAUAUUUGAUGGGUGCCUUUGCCCACCCCUCAUGCAAGCAUGUCACUUCCUGGAGACGCAGGCAAGCACAGUCCUGAAUUUACUAUUUCCAUUGGAUGAUAACUCUCAUUGGGCACUGCUGAGGUAAAGGUACUGCUUACCCAGAACCCAGUAUAUGAUGGGGAUUUCUAGCCUCAGGAGGACCUGAGAGCUCAUGGUAAUCCUUUCCAUUUCCAUGGCCUUUCCAUGGCCCAACAGUACCAGAAGUUGCCUUGCAUAGGAAUUGUGCUGGGCUACAACUGGAACUUUUCCCAUGGCUCAUUGUUUCAUGUGACCGGUUGUCAUGUUUCCCUUCCACUUAAAUGCAGUUUUCAAUGUCUCAGUAGCUUUAAUUAUACAGGAGUGCCACUCAGUAAGGUUCUUUAUGGUCACUGUAUAGUCAUAUCAUUCACUCCAAUGUUCUGUUUCCCAGUUUGCUUGAAGGUUAUAGGGAGAAUGAAAGGCCAUUAUCAUGCAAUGGGAGCACACCCAUUGCUGGGCAUGUGAGAUGUAAAUGAGAUACCUUGAUCUGCCUGGAGUCUUGUAUAUCAGGUCACAUAAUCUGUUUCUGCAGUGCUGCAGUGGGGAUCCCAGCAUCAUGUUGAAUGUGAAUUACUGACCCAUAUCUAGAAUAUGUGUCUAAAGUGGUGAGACACCAUUGGAACCUAUGACUAUGGAUAAGUAGUCUAAAGUGGUUGAGUUGCCACUCAUGCAAGGCCUAAUCCCCACUUGAUAUGGCCCAUCACACCAUGAUGUGUCACCUGAGCUCAUUGUCAGGAGUCACAUGACUGUGUUCUGCCUUUGGUCUCUGCCUCUACUAGAGUUCUUAUGAUUUCACCCAAUCUUGCAUCUGAGCUGGGUUUCUGUGUCCUGUUCUGUGGUGGACCCAACAGGCAGUCAUGGCAGUUUGUUGGGUACAUGCUUGGUCAGCAUGGGAAUUCCAUUGUGUUCUGCUUCAAAUGGACUUUUGCAAUGGGUGUCCACAAUGGUGACAAAUUCAUCUUCUCACCUCACAAGCUGUUGCUAUAGCCCCUGUGCCCACAUGGAGGAGAUUCUUAUAAUCCAGUCAUUGAUUUGCCAGUCACUGGACAGUAUGGACAGCCAAUCGUCAAGAGCUGAUGACUCCAUAAAUACGUAGCAGAACAUUGUUAGAGUUGUGUGAACAGCCAUCAUCAUUACAUGGAGUUCAACCCAGUGGACAGAAUUCCCUGAUUCAGUCUCAAAAGGUGGUCAUUCUUGAAACAUGGCCACAGUGGCCCAAUGGACUCCAUCAGCUAUGAGUUUUGCAGUUUCAUCUAUGAACCAAGUCGUACCAUCAGCUGGACUAUCCCACUUUGCCAGGAGAAGUGAAAGGAGUCAAAGCAAAAUCAGCAAAAGGAAAAGGUGAAUGCUGUCAAGUCCAGAAGAAAUCGGGUGCAAGCCCCCAACAGUCCUCUCCCAGUGGAGUCACACAGAACAUGCUUAGUUCCUCUAGCAACAAUAGGUGAUGACACAUGUGAUGUGUUGUCUCCAGGGAAGCUCACCUUAGUCUAGGAAUGCAGGAUUUUAUUGGGAGUCAUUCAUAAAGACAAACAAUGCCUGCAUAACUGGCUGCAGUUACUGAAGCUCCAGACCCCCAGAUGGAAAGCAGAGACUCACCAUAAGCAACAUUGCUUGCACAAACUGCCUUGACAAAAUAGUACAGUGUAGUUCAAGACCCCAAGGGUGCAAAACAUUCCACGACUUCAAUUUCCAGGCACUGGCAGAGGUCCUUUGGGGAAUGUGCAAGUUUGAGCAACUCCAGCCUAAGUUAACUCUUUCUGCAACAAGUGGCUCCCAACGUGGGGCUCGAAGAACCGGACCUGGUUCCUGACAGAAGAAUCCCUUGAAUGACUGAGGUACAGUGGCACUGGAACUUGGGUGGAGGUGACGGAUGAUCACCACUUUGGAUACUGGCCCAACGACUGAAGCCAUACCAUGAACCCAGCAAAGAAAAGAAAAUUCCUUUGGGGCAUCGAGCCACCAGUGAUGCACUUCCAGGGUCUGAUGCUGAAGACAACAGUGAUUGGGCCAACACCCCAAACUAGGGAAGCCCAACAUCCAACUUGAGGUCAGAUAAAAAAGCUGUGUCAAGAUGCAGAGAAACAAGUCCAGCAAGCCAUGCUGCCAGUAACAGGUCCUAACCUGACUGCAGCAAUGUUGGCUCUUAUCGCUGUUGCUGUGAGUAUCUCCAGCAUGUGCUCAUUCAGGAAAUUACACUUAUUGGGCUUAAUUCUCUCUAUGCUCAGGCAAAAUAUCCUAUUAUUUGGCACAGUGUUGGCUGGUCUCCACCUAGACCUACUUUAAAUCAUUCUUAUGUUCUAUAUACACUUUGGAGGCUUCCUAUUAGUUUACGUAAUAUUUAUUUCACAAAAAUAGAUACUUUCGGAGUAUAAGCCUGUGUCAGAGACCCCUGUAUGUUUUGGGUAGGAAACUUAACUAUUAACACUACUACCAAAGAAAUUACUUGUCUGGCCUACUGGAGUUGCUCAUUAUAUACUUGUUUAAAUAACACCAUAAAUUCUAGCAACAUCACUGUUGUAGUUAUUAGAUGAUGAAAGGGUCUAUGGCUCCCUGUUUCACAGCAUAAACCUUGGGAGUCAUCACCUGAUAUGCAUAUGUUACUACAAAUUUUAGAAAAGGUAUAUAAAAGAACAAAAAGAUUUCUUGAAUUAUUAAUAGCUUCUAUUAUAGGUAUAAUAGCCAUCACUACAACUGCUGCUGUUGCAGGAACAGCCUUACAUCAAUCUAUUCGGACCACCAAAUUUGUCCAAAAAUGGCACAAGAAGGCAAGCAAGUCUUGGGGUGAGCAAUUACAGUUUGACAAGGAAGUUAUUGCUCACCUUGUAGACCUAGAAAAUGCUGUUCUCCUUCUAGGAGAAGAUGUUGAGACUCUAUAGUACCAAUUUAAGUUAAAAUGUGACUGAAAUAUGUCCACAUUUUGUGUGACCCCUUGUGAAUAUGAUCACACACUUUUUAAUUUGAGUAAAGUUAAAAAACAUUUACUUGGACACUAUAAUAAUCUUACAUUGGAUAUUCUAAAACUGCAGAUUUUCUUUCUGAAACUGAAACUAUGCAAGGCAUCGCUAAAGGCCUUGAAUGAUUAAAUCCCCUUAUAUGGGUUAUUUUAAUAAUUUUGCUUUGUCUUUGUUUAGUCCUCAGAUGCAUGAGAAAAACCCUCUCAGAACUAAAGCAGAAAGAAGCUGCUUGGUCCAUCCUAUCUGCAUUGAAGAAACAAAAAGGG